GUCCUUUAAUUGGGUGAUAUGCUUUGUAUUUCUUAAUGAAACAUCAAAUUAUAGCCAACUUAAAUCCGAUCAGAAUUUAGGCAAAAACGUUUUAAAAAAAAAUUCCUUUGGCCACCUUAGCCUAAAUCUUGUAGUUCGAUUUUUGAUCAACAAUAAAUCCCUAUGUGUCAUUUUUAAACCUGUGCUACAUGGUGUGAGACUUGCUAACCUGCAGAUAGUCUGUAUCCUACUUUGUAACUAACUGGAACCCAGUUUGCUCACUCCCAGAAAUUUACUUGAAGUGUUAACACAUUUUUGUAAGGUUUCUGUAUUUUGUAUACGUUCUUUUGUGGUUGAAAAACAAC